UGUGUGUGUGUGUAGAUUAAACAUGAACGGGCCAAAACGGACAUGGCAGCAGGUCAAAAUCAAAUACAAGAACAUUCUGCAGAAUGGUAUGGUCCCUGACUAAUAUUUAACAAAGCACAAGCAUAUAUUGUACCCAGAAGGUGCCUGCUCACACAUUGUCUGUACUGUUUUAGCAGUGAAAAAGAAUACCCACAGACAAGGCACGGGUGGUGGGUCACCAAAGGCUGACCUUACCCCAGCAGAGGACAUCGCCUUGGAGCUAAAUAAAGGCAGGCCCGUCUUAGAGGGGAUCCCUGGGGGGAAAGAGACGAGCAUAGGUUCCUCCCAAGAUGCCACCCGCUUCAUUCAAGUGUCUGACAGCACUGUGUUCCUGUUAGAGCCACCAGCACAAGCACCAGACGAUGCUGAUCCAGGUGAAGGCCCCAGUGCAGCAGCAACAGCACAUGAUGGAGACGAUGAUGAUGAGGAGGAGACCAUCUCUCUGGAUUCCAGAAGGCAUGAGGUAUCAUGGACCCAGAUGCUAUACAGUGGGAAAACCAGCCUGGCAACAUAGUGCGUAUUAAUAAAAGGACACCACAUCCUGCCAAAUUCCAGCUGCGCUAAUUGUAUUGUGUUCACAAGCUAUCAGAAAUUUGUAUGGCAACCACCUCCGGCGCCAAAUAGAACUGGCAGACAUAGACAUUCAGUACAAGAAGAAAAAGAUGGAAAAUCUUGCACUGGAGUCUGAAAUAAAAAAGAGGACAAUUAGGAAACUGGACCUUGAAAUAAAAAAACUUGAGAGGGAGCUCCAAGAAGAUGACACAGCUCAAAAUAAAAAUUAGCAAUCAGUACAACCAAGUCAUCGUUAUAAGGCAUCGCCCUCUUUUGCCCACCCCCCCAGCACCAGGUGUGGCCACUAGCCUAUAUGAAGGCCCAAAAUUGUGUGUUUCUUUCUGCUCUGACAAUGGCAUGCCCAUUUGUGCGAGAUGUGGUGGAUGAAGAAGCACUUGUGCUGAGGAGAGCCUUCAGGCGAGAAAGGGUCUUCAGGGACCGGUUGGACCCACUGGCCUUCCCUGACGACCAUCUAUAUGAAAGAUACAGGUUUUCUGCAGAUGGCAUCAGGUAUCUAUGCAGACUACUGGGUCCCAGGAUUAAGCACCGCACUGCACGGAGCCAUGCACUGAGUGUGGAGCAAAUGGUUUGUGUGGCCUUGCGCUUUUUUGCUAGUGGAGCCUUCCUGUACUCAGUGGGGGAUGCAGAACAGCUGAACAAGGCCACAAUUUGCCGCACAAUAAGGAGUGUGUGUCUGGCUAUCAAAGCAUUAGCAGAUGUCUUCAUCUCCUUCCCUGGCCACAGAAGACUCUGUGACAUCAAAGAGGAGUUCUAUAGGAUUGCAGGUUUCCCCAAUGUCAUUGGUGCAGUGGACUGCACACACAUAAGGAUAAAAGCCCCUCAGGUGCCCAUGAGGCCGAUUUUGUGAAUAGGAAAUCCUUUCACAGCAUUAAUGUUCAGAUGGUCUGCAAUGCUGACUGUGUGAUCAGCAAUGUUGUGGCAAAAUGGCCUGGCUCAGUCCAUGACUCCAGAAUCUUUCGGGCCUCUGAAAUCUAUCAGUGCCUAUCACAAGGUGAAUUCUCUGGUGUGUUGCUGGGAGACAGGGGGUAUGGCUGCCAGCCUUUUCUCCUGACACCUUUCACAGACCCCCAGGAAGCACAGCAGGCCUACAACCAUGCCCAUGCCAGGACCAGGGCCAGAGUUGAAAUGACCUUUGGCCUCCUGAAGGCACGCUUUCACUGCCUUCACAAAUUAAGGGUCAGCCCUGUUAGGGCAUGUGAUAUUACUGUGGCUUGUGCUGUCCUCCACAAUGUGGCCUGCCUGAGGAAGGAGAGGGCCCCCAGAGUGCCACCAGCCAUGGACUGGGACAAUCCGGCAAUCUUCCCUGAUGACGACAGUGGUCGGCUGCUGAGGGACCAAUAUGUGUUGAAUUAUUUUAGUUAGUAUGUGUGCUUUCAAUUUUGGUUAAAUAUGUCCUGCGGUGGCAGAGGAAUUUGGU